UACGGAGGGUGCGAGCGUUAUUCGGAAUUACUGGGCGUAAAGCGCGUGUAGGCGGGAGGGUGUGUCUGAUGUGAAAGCCCCGGGCUUAACCUGGGAAGUGCAUUGGAAACUGCCCUUCUUGAGUACUGGAGAGGAUGGGGGAAUUCCCGGUGUAGAGGUGAAAUUCGUAGAGAUCGGGAGGAAUACCAGUGGCGAAGGCGCCCAUCUGGACGGUAACUGACGCUGAGACGCGAAAGCGUGGGGAGCAAAC
rnacentral:rRNA from 1 species